GUUAGGGUUAGGGUUAGGAAGUUGUCUAGGGCAUAGAAGUAUGACUGAUGGUAAUGACGGAAUUGUACGAAAGUGACUAGUGCUGCCACGUAGCGGCACCUCCCUCUACGCCCGGGGGGAA